rnacentral:rRNA from 1 species
CUACGGAACUCCUACGGGAGGCAGCAGUGGGGAAUUUUGGACAAUGGGCGCAAGCCUGAUCCAGCAAUGCCGCGUGAGUGAAGAAGGCCUUCGGGUUGUAAAGCUCUUUUGUCAGGGAAGAAACGGCUGUGGCUAAUAUCCACGGCUAAUGACGGAACCUGAAGAAUAAGCACCGGCUAACUACGUGCCAGCAGCCGCGGUAAUACGUAGGGUGCAAGCGUUAAUCGGAAUUACUGGGCGUAAAGCGGGCGCAGGCGGUUUUGUAAGUCAGAUGUGAAAUCCCCGGGCUCAACCUGGGAAUUGCAUUUGAGACUGCACGGCUAGAGUGUGUCAGAGGGGGGUAGAAUUCCACGUGUGGCAGUGAAAUGCGUAGAUAUGUGGAGGAAUACCGAUGGCGAAGGCAGCCCCCUGGGAUAACACUGACGCUCAUGCACGAAUGCGUGGGGAGCAAACAGGAUUAGAUACCCGAGUAGUCCUCUUCGA